rnacentral:rRNA from 1 species
UAGGGAAUCUUCGGCAAUGGGGGCAACCCUGACCGAGCAACGCCGCGUGAGUGAAGAAGGUUUUCGGAUCGUAAAGCUCUGUUGUAAGAGAAGAACGUGUGUGAGAGUGGAAAGUUCACACAGUGACGGUAACUUACCAGAAAGGGACGGCUAACUACGUGCCAGCAGCCGCGGUAAUACGUAGGUCCCGAGCGUUGUCCGGAUUUAUUGGGCGUAAAGCGAGCGCAGGCGGUUUAAUAAGUCUGAAGUUAAAGGCAGUGGCUUAACCAUUGUUCGGUAUGGAAACUGUUAAACUUGAGUGCAGAAGGGGAGAGUGGAAUUCCAUGUGUAGCGGUGAAAUGCGUAGAUAUAUGGAGGAACACCGGUGGCGAAAGCGGCUCUCUGGUCUGUAACUGACGCUGAGGCUCGAAAGCGUGGGGAGCAAACAGG